GUGCUCAUUUCGAAGCACAUAUAGUAAAAUUGGAAGGAUAUAGAGAAGGUUAGAAUGGCCCGUGCACUAGGGUGACACACAAAUUCAUGAAGCAUUCCAUAUUUUU